CGAUAAUAGCAAAUUUAGUGAAAACUAGAGACGCAAAGCUAUAGGGCCUUCCUUAUAAAAGAUGGCAGCCAGUUACCGA
rnacentral:ncRNA from 1 species